GGACCCGCACAAGCAGCGGAGCAUGUGGUUUAAUUCGAAGCAACGCGAAGAACCUUACCAAAACUUGACAUCCCUCUGACCCAUCCUUAAUCGGAUGCUCUCUUCGGAGCAGAGGUGACAGGUGGUGCAUGGUUGUCGUCAGCUCGUGUCGUGAGAUGUUGGGUUAAGUCCCGCAACGAGCGCAACCCCUAUUUUUAGUUGCCAGCACUUCGGGUGGGCACUCUAAAGAGACUGCCGAGGAUAACUUGGAGGAAGGUGGGGAUGACGUCAAAUCAUCAUGCCCCUUAUGUUUUGGGCUACACACGUGCUACAAUGGCUGGUACAGAGAGCAGCAAGAGAGUGAUCUGGAGCAAAUCUUUAAAGCCAGUCUCAGUUCGGAUUGUAGGCUGCAACUCGCCUACAUGAAGUUGGAGUUGCUAGUAAUCGCAAAUCAGAAUGUUGCGGUGAAUGCGUUCCCGGGUCUU
rnacentral:rRNA from 1 species